rnacentral:lncRNA from 1 species
UAGAACAUAUUCUUGCAUGUGAUAUUUCUUAUUUUGAACAGUUUGAUGGAUACUAAAACUAAAGGUUUAAAUAGUGAUUCUGUUUGCUGAGGUUGAAAUGGUAGAACCGCAAUAAAUAAUUAAAUACACAUAUAUAUUAUAUAUUAAAUGAUAUAUUACGGUCUAAAUGCCUUUUUUGGUGUUAUGGAGCCUAAUUCUUGGGUCCGCCGUGAAGACACGAAUGAGGGUAAUGGAUGCCGAUCGGCAUGUGUCAUGUGUGUAUAAGGGCAUUCAUUGAAUAUAUUUUGGGUAUUUUCACUUAAUUAACGUGUACUCGUUUAGCUUACAGUUUCUCCUUUGUUUACUUUUUAUUUUUGUUUUUCGCCACUUUUUAUUU